AACGAACGCUGGCGGCAGGCUUAACACAUGCAAGUCGAGCGCCCCGCCAGGGGAGCGGCAGACGGGUGAGUAACGCGUGGGAACGUACCUUUUGGUUCGGAACAACUCCGGGAAACUGGAGCUAAUACCGGAUAAGCCCUAACGGGGAAAGAUUUAUCGCCGAAAGAUCGGCCCGCGUCUGAUUAGCUAGUUGGUGAGGUAACGGCUCACCAAGGCGACGAUCAGUAGCUGGUCUGAGAGGAUGAUCAGCCACACUGGGACUGAGACACGGCCCAGACUCCUCCGGGGGGAGGCGUGGGGGAUAUUGGACAAUGGGCGCAAGCCUGAUCCAGCCAUGCCGCGUGAGUGAUGAAGGCCUUAGGGUUGUAAAGCUCUUUUGUCCGGGAAGAUAAUGACUGUACCGGAAGAAUAAGCCCCGGCUAACUUCGUG
rnacentral:rRNA from 1 species